CCAUCGACAUUGAUGGAGGAAAGUAGAUCAUUCCCAACCUUCCAGGGAGAAGAAGUCGCGACUGAGAGCUUCUUUAUGGUAUGGCUGAUUGAAGUUCCCUCCGGAGUUGCUGCAGUGAAAGAUUGAAGUAGGUGCAGCCGGGGUCCUGCCGUUAAAAGGGAGGAGGUAUCGGAUGCAAAUCCCGUACCGGUAAAAGCGACUACACAAGUAGGGUGGUACAGCGAAAUCAAACAUUUCGUCCCUUAGAGGAUGAAGUGUUUUUUAUUUACCGGGGGAGUGCCAUCCCGUACUUUUGAGCUGGGCUUGUUAGCCAAUUUGGGUGGUACCGCGGAGAUAACUCUUCGUCCCUUGU
rnacentral:ncRNA from 1 species